GACGCACGCUGCCAUCAGCUGGGAGCUGGACAACGUGCUGAUGCCUAGUCCCAGAAUCUGGCCCCAGGUGACUCCAACAGGUCUGCCUCUGUCAGGAGUGAGGGUAACACCUCCUCACUCUGGAAUUUCUCAGCUGGGCAGGAUGUGCAUGCCAUAGUAACCAGAACCUGUGAGUCUGUGCUGAGCUCUGCCGUCUACACCCACGGCUGUGGCUGUGUGAGGUCUGCCACAAACAUUACCUGUCAGUCCUCAGGACAACAAAGGCAGGCGGCCCGGCAGGAAGAGGAGAACUCAAUCUGCAAGGCCCAUGAUAGUAGAGAGGGCCGCCUGGGCUACCCCCUCAGUGCCCAUCAGCCUGGUUCCGGUGGUCCUAACUAGCCCUGUCUCCUUGCCAAUAGCCCUGUGCUCCCCAGCCCCCUCCCCCAUGCAGACGGCUGCUAUGACAUCCCUGUUCCUUAAAGUGCGGGGUUCCUCGCUGCCUUCUCCUCCCUAACUGGCACCCUGUGCAAACCUGC
rnacentral:lncRNA from 10 species